CCUAGGACCAUUCACUCCAAUGUGGUAUGAGAACAUUUAUUUUCUAAUUGUUCUUGGUUUGAUGUCAAGGCGUACUCAUUCUUGAAAUCUAUGUGGCUUUUUCAGAAACACUAUGUUCCAAGAAGUUUAUUCAAGAGAGCUGGGCAUAUAGGUCCGUCAUGACUGGCAAUGCCCUACAGGACGGCUUGGUUGAUGCAAUCCGUGUAUCCCUCACGGAUCCACUUGGAACUCAUGCUGCAGACCAUCAAUUAGGUGUGGAUAACCAUACUCAAGUCUGGUAGUGCGAUGGCUCCUGUAGAACUAAUCUCUGCACAAUUUGUUUCAAUGAGCACCCAGGUAAUUCAGAUGCUCCAUUUGAUUCUUGGACACUCUCCCUGCUGCUCAUUUCACAACUACGUCUCCAUCAUAACUUCAAGCUGUUGUUUUCAAACAGUAAGGGAGAACGCUACUGAUACAGUAUAUAUUGGACAUUGAAUUGGUGCUCCAUGGAGCCAGGGCACCAUGAUUUAUACACAAAUCCAAACCAAAUUUGGGUAUACUUUUUCUGGAAAUUUUAGUUCUGGGGUAUAAUACCUGAUUAUUAUAGAAUUCAAGUACUCUACAUCUGGGAUAUUGCUGUGUAUAUCUAUUUCUGCAUACCAUACUGCUUGUAUAUAAAAUCAACAUAUAUCUGCAGUCAAACAAUCAUUA